AUUCUUAGAAGAUUAUUUGUAAGUGUGAUGACUGGGUGCUCACACACAUACGUGAGAUUUGCCUCCCUUAAGCCUUGUCAUGAUGUCGGCACAUUGCUCAUCAGACG
ensembl:snoRNA